rnacentral:lncRNA from 1 species
AAAAGUGAAAAUACUAAGCUAAACAACCAUACAAGUACUAUGAUUAACUUUUAAUCACAUACAUGCAUUUAACACUUUCAUUUACAUUCUUUUCAUUCAUUUCUUCUCUUUAUACACCACAUGAUCUCCAAAAUAUAAACCCUUUACAUUGUUGCAUUUAAACAUCAUUUAUACAUUUGUAAUCAUCAAAUACAAAAGAUGAUAAAGAGGGCAUGAACUAUACAAAUACGAAACCAACUCGGGUGGUCACUGUCUAUGGCGCGAUACCAUUACCACGAUCGUCGCCGACUCACUCGGUCCUGGCUCUGUGGAAAAUAGUGGGGUGAGAACUACAACAAAGUUUUCAGUCGGUUCGGCUGUCGACCUCGCCGACUUUCCGACUAGGUUGAAUAAAUGGAUGGAUAGUAACCAAACUAUACAAAUGCAGCUAAUAUGCCUGAACAAGAUAUAAUCAAUAAAGAUGCUCAUGAGGAAUGCAAGAUCUCAAUGUCCAUUACCCAAUUCUCUUGGCUAACCGGUAGGUUUCGCCUAAAACAACUUACCAACUCAAAUCCCUAGUAUCGGGGAGAUACUCGCUACAACCCGACGGGACCGUCCUCUGGGGAUAUACUCGCUACGACCCAGUGAUGACUACUCCGGAGCUCAUCACUCGAGGGGGUGCGACCGCCCUCAAGCCAAGACUUAUAGGUGAGUAUGAUCCAAUCCUUAGCUGUAAGGAUGUCAAGUUCAACUCAUUCCUUAACUAUAAGGAUAUUAUGUCACAUAUGUCAUAAUGUCAGCUAUCACACUUUCUUGCAUUCUUUAACUCUCAUUAGUGCCACACACAUACUAGGUGUUCUUUAUACUCAUUCUCAUGCAUUUAUCGUUCUCAUUAAUGCCACACUACUAGUGUUUAACUCUAGUAUUCAAAACUCAUUAAUACCACACUUUCAACACUAGCAUUCAUGACUCAUUAAUGCCACCCACUAUCAUUUAUGUCAUAAUGUCACUAUUUCUCUAAUGUCACUAGAUUCUUUACCAUAUCCAUGUUCUUAUCACCAUUCAUGCAUUAUAGGGUUCUACAGGUUUUUCAUAGCUUACUAACAUCUCGUAUGCAUUUUGUAUUACUAACAUACAACAACACAUAUCAACAUGCUCCCAAUGACCCUACAAUGCAUGAAAUUCAAUAUAUACAUAUGCUCAAGAAAUGACAUUUUAGACAUAAAAGAAAAUUCGAGGAUUUCAGAUAGCACCACCCACCUCGUAUGGUUGCUAAGGUGCUACGGUUCAAGUUUCGUGAUUUUUAGCCGCCUAUUCUCUUGCCUGCGGCAAAACGAAGCCAAAAUAGGCUUUGUCUCCAAUUCCUUUGCGUAGGCUCGUCGGAUCUUCGAACCGAGUCUCCCAACGCGUUAGAAAUACUUUCAAUUUGGUUUCUAUAAGGUCAAUUUACAUUUAAACCCAUCUAUGACGAAAGCCCCAAUUUGAAGCCACAACAUUGUACUAUAGCAACAUACACCAUCUAGAUCUUUGAGUUAAGCAAAAAAAAGCUUAAUAUCAUCUAGAGAUCCAUCUAAAUCCAUUCUUAGGGCAUUUAAACCAAACCCUAGGGUUCUACCAUUAAAGGGUUUGAAGCUUACCUCAAAAAGCUUCAUUUUCUUGAGCUAAUGAAGAAGAAGAAGAGAUGGCUUCACCUCCUAGCCUCCUUCUCCACCAAAUCCUUCUCCCUUGUUUCCACCUUGGAGAGAGAGACAAAUCUUAGAGAGAGAGAGAGGGCUCUUUUGUUGUGUGAGUGAGAGGAAAUGAGAGGAGAGAGUCCCCCACCCCUCUCAUAUUACCCCACUCAAACACAUUUGCUAAAAACCCCUCCAACUUGUCACUUUGUGCACUGCACGAACUGGGCAGUUUUCGUCCGCGGGGUCCGGACCCUCUAUAGGGUCUGGACCCCGAGAGCAAAACAUGCUCAGUUUGUCCUAAUUUUUCCCAUGAUUGCUCUCUAAGGUCCUAACAACCUUCUUAACCAUUUCCAAUGCAUUUCGGACUAUCUGAAGCGUUCCGAAGCGAUCCUCCUCGCACUUUAGUCAAUUUGGCUAAAGUUCGAUAUAACCUAUCGAAGUUUCGGUAUAUUACAUUCUUCACCCCUUAAAAAUAGUUUCGUCCGCGAAACUAAACACAUACCUUAACUCGUCGACUCGAAUAGGUAAGGAUACGUCUUUCGCAUUGUCUCCUAAAGCUCCCAAGUGGCUUCACGCACCGCGUGAUUGCUCCACUGGACAUUAACGUAGGGAAUUGUGUGACUCCGCAACUUCCUUUCUUCUCUAUCGAGGACACAUACCGGAUACUCCUCGUAGGUCAUGUCCUCGCGUAACUCCACUGGUUAGUACUCUAGCACAUGAGUCGAAUUGCGAAUAUACUUGCGGAGAUUCGACACAUGAAAUACGUUGUGAACUCCCGCAAGCCUCGGUGGUAGUACGAGCUUAUAUGCCACCGCACCCACACGCUCCAAUAUCUCGAAUGGUCCGACAUAACGGGGACUUAACUUCCCGCGGACCCCUAAUCGCCUUACACCCCUCAUGGGUGACACCUUCAAGAACAUGCGGUCUUUUACCGCUAACUCUAAAUCCUUUUUGCGCUUGUUGGCAUAGCUUUGUUGCCUUGAUUGCGCCGUCGCAAGUCGUUCACGAGCAAGGCGAACUUUCUGUUCCGCCUCUCGUAACACAUCGGGGCCAAGAGUAACUGUCUCACCCACUUCGUUCUCCAAUGAAUAGGAGAACGACACUUCUUUCCUAGACGAUUACAACCGACCAAGGAACAAUGUUCACAGGAGAACAGUUCUCGUGGUUCAGAGAGUCGAGAAAAAUUAAGUUGCUUCAUUCAUCACCUUAUUAUGCUCAGUUCAAUGGGCAGGCCGAGGCAAUAAACAAAGUUAUUAUUAACCUUAUAAAAUGACAUAUUGGGAAACAUCCAAGAAAGUGGAGCGAAAAACUCUCAGAAGUAUUAUGGGCAUGCCGAACUACUGUCAAAACGGCGACAGGGGUUACACCAUUUUUGCUGGUCUAUGGUCAUGAAGCUAUAGUACCUGCCAAAAUUAUGGUUCCUUCCUUAAGAGUCGAAGGACAAAGAGUUGAUGGCGAAAAAAUAUGAGAUUUUAAUAAGGGAGAAGUUAGACGAAAUAGAUGAAAUUCGCUGUUAGCGCUUGAUCAUCCGCAAGCUUAUCAGAGCCGAGUAAGCGAUGCAUAUAAUAAAAGAAUUAGGCUGAAUCUUUCUCUGUUGGCGAUUUGGUCUUAACGUUAAUGCUACCAAUCGGUCAAAAAGACCGAGUGUAUGAGAAAUAGUCUCCAAAUUGGGAAGGACUAUUCCAAAUAUAUAGAGUUGCAAAGGGUAAUGUAUAUUUCCUAAAGACAUUAGGUGGAUCAGAAAAUAACAAGCAAAUCAAUUAUAAAUAUUUAAGAAAACACUAAACAUCCAUAUGGAAAAAUGAAUGAAAAGUCAAAGAGAAAUACAAAUGAAAAGUUAAAAUAUAUUACAACCGAUUUGAGAAUGGAAAACCAAGGAAAGUCAAGAUAAUAAGUCUUUAAGUUGACUCUGUUCAGUUUCCAGAUUAAAUUGAGCAAGGUCGGCUGCUCGCUUUCUUCGCUUCAUCAUAGGGUGGAGUUUGUAAAGUUAGGAGACUUCGUCAUGUAGCGCUAUCUCUUCGUCUUUUUUGGCCUAUCGUUGAGACUGCACAUCGGCACGUUGUUUGGAUGUCUGAGCCAAGGCUGUUUUGGCUGUAGCAAGUUCUUCUUUAAGAUUGGUAAUGCGUUGUCGAAGAGCCGAUUCUUGGUCUUUCAGAGAAAUAUCUUACUUGUUUAGGUUGGUGAUUGGAGUAGCUACUUUAGGGACUUUCGUCUUGAAAUGACCGACCCGUGAAAAAUGAUGAUUUAAAGCCAAAUACUCGGCAGAAAGUGUCUAUUAUUGAGUCAAGGAAGAAGAGAGUCGAGAAGAUAAAGUCUCUGCAAAACAUUUGCUUGUAGAAGAGAGAUCCAGUUGAUUUAGGAGGUCUAAGAGGAGUGCUCCGAGCCGAUCAAAUUGCUCCAAGUUUCGAGCUAAAGUCAGAAGACCACUACUGUACAAUCUUAAACAUUCCUCAAAUUUCUACUAGGUCUCAGUCGAAAUAGUGAUGGAAAAAUCUUCCUCCUCAUGAGAUGUUGGGCUUGAAGUGGCCAAGUCUUGAAGAAAAAUGGCCAAUAGAUCUGUUAAUUCAGAUGCUGGCAUAGGAGUUGAAGUAGAAGUUUGGGCCGGGGGUUCGACAGGAAAGUCAACACCAACUCCUUCUGUUAAGCUAAUCUCCUCUUUCUUCUUCUUGUUUUCCUCUUCCUUUUUUUUUCUUGUUUUCUUCUUCGUCCUUCUUCUUCUUUUCUUUUACAUCUUUCUUCUUUUCUUUUUUGCUCUUCUUCUCUUGCUCUUCGCUCUUUUUCUUUUUUCCUUUUCUGAAAUUCUUCUUUUGUCUUUCUUCCUUCUUCUUUCCUCUGUUGAUUUUCUCUUUUUUCUUCUUUUUUUUUUUACUUUUUUAAUUUUUUUUACCUUUUUCUGCUCGUUUUCUCUCUUCCUCCGGCUUCUUGUCAAGGUGAGCCACCCGACGGGCUUGCCUUUCAGCAUAAGAAAUCGCUUUCCUUAGGGCUAAAGCAAAGUGAGAAUGUGGGAUUUUUCCAAUGGAAGCUUUUUUUAGCUGUUUGAUUGCAGGGGAUAACGUGGGUGAUCCAAUUGAAGAAUGAGAAAAAGAAGAGGAAUUGAUUGAGAUAGGCUGAAGAUAAACCUCGGUCAAUAUUUGAUCAGUAGGCCGAAAAGACACCAAUUCCUCGGCCGAAAUUGUAGCCGAGGGAACCUCUGCUGAAGAUAGGUCCUCGGUCGAAGCACAAGGAGCAGAUGAAGGUUGAGAACGAAAUUUUAUUGCGAAAGUUUUAUGCCAUUUUUGUUGCGGCGAUUGAAUUGAAGAAUCUGUCAGCCGCUUCUCUGAAUGUUGGGCCGAUGGAGUAGGAAUAGUCGUCGACUGAAAUAGAAUGCAUUGGUUAGUUAAGCUGAGUACAUACUUAGAAAGAAAAAUACAUUGAGAGAGAGAGUUUACCAUAGAGGGGUGAGAUGAAUCUUUCGGAUCCUCAUCGAAAUUUUUCCCCGAAUCUUCUUGCCUUAAGGAAUCAGGCAAGACAUCUUUAUUUAUCAGAGUUAUUGAGAAAAAAGCAAUAAGUUAAAGGAAAGGAAGAGAAAAAAGAAUCAAAUCAAAGAUAAGAUAAUAUACCUUCUAUGUGAUAAAUUUUGUGGGUGGUGCGGAGUAUGGGCUUGAAGAAAAAUUUGUUACAAAAACCGUCCCAAGCUCUGGUGAAAUCGAAAUCCUCCACCCCUGCGUAAAUCGGCCGAAAACUCAUGAGCUUGAAGAAGCAUUGGAGACGGUUUCCCAUGGCCAAUAGCCGAUCAGCUUCGGCUGCACUUUUGGUAGGAGGGUGGCUGCUCGCGGUAUUGGCCAUAAAAAAUUUAGCUGAGGUUGGAAUUGCUUGGACGAACCGAAUUGACAUGCCACAUAUUGGAGAGAAUACACUUCGGUGGUAUGCGUCAAUUUAGAGCGGGAUUUUAAGCCAAUAUGCAAAUCUCGAGAGCCAACAGGGAAUACCAAACAUCAGAAUAUUCACUGGCACGAGAAGAGACCAACUGAUCUUUAAUGGCUUCAUAUAGCGAGUGAGAAGCCAAGAUAGGCCGGUGAGAUGAUCUCCAAAAACUGCCUACUUGAUCAUGAGAUGCUGGUCUCUUUUGUAAAAAAUUUUAAAACAUUUGGCAAAAUCAUUCAGUUGACCCGAAAUCAAAGGCUCUGGAUAGCUGAGAACCAGACCAUAGGUGUCAAAAUGAUCAACCAAAUCUAAAUCUAAAGAAGUUCGGUAUAGGUAAGGAAAAUAAAUCUGUAAACACAUUUGCAAAAAUCAUAAAACACCGCAACCGAUUACUAAGCCAUUCCUCAAUGGCAGUGGUUUGAUGGAUUCUGAUAUUUUUCGAUACACAAAAGAAAGAAAAUAUACACCUAAUGCUAAUUUUUCACCGUUAGUUAAGGCAACAACGAUUGAAACGAAAUCACGAUUAAUCUUCUACGAGCGGGUGCAAAAGAAAUUAUGACAAAGUCAAUAAAGAAGAAAGGUAGCGUGCUUUUUCUUAAUAAUCGGAGUAGGGACUGACUUGCGAAUCGGCAAAUAAAUUUGGUAUAAGCAAGGUCUGCCUUUGGGUCAAAAUAGGUCUCAAAAUCAUCUAUUCCGUCAGGAUUAUAGGCCAUCGAGAGAGUAACGCCCUGAGAGCAGAGACCAACUAUCGCCGCCACAUCAAGAAGAGUCGAUGUGAAGCGUCCCAAUCGAAAAAGGAGAGUGCUGGAAAUAAGGGACCAAAAAUAUAAAGCCGAGGAAAGAAGGAUAUUGUCGGCUUGAGGAGGAACCUUAGAAUGUUGGAUAGCAUCAUAUAUUCUAACUUCACGCCAAAGGUCAGAUAAGAUGCUUUGACUCGGUCUAACCAAGCUAAGUAAGCAUCUAAAACGUUAGGCCAAGUUCGAAGGUUUUUUCCUGAUGAUUUUGAGGCGUACUAAGAUUAUAGAUGAAUAGCAUCAGCCAUCAAAUGAAGACCUUCAGUAGAGAAAGAGAGAUCCUCAGGGAUAGAAAAAUCCAUAAACGAAGGACCAACACUACAACAAAAAUGGUGUAUAGCGACACUUUUAAAUGUCGGUAUAGAUAAAAAAAAAGUGCUGCUGGCUAAAUUACCGACACUUUUAAAAAGUGUUGCUAUAUGUGGGGCCGCUAGGUAUAUAGUAACAAUUUAAGAGUGUCGGUUUAACCUAAAAAGAAUGCUGCUAAUUUACCAACACUUGUUUAAGCAUUUAGCAACCACCGGAAUCCUACCUCAUCGGCUACGGCGCAGAGGAGGAGGAGAGCAAAGGGCUCUUUGUCUACGAUUUUUAAUGGAUUGAGUGAGGGGAGAAGGGGAGAAGGUGUUCGAUUUUUUUUUUUCUCUUUUCUGUUUGUAAUCGGGCCGAAUGAGCUAGGUGGGGUGGGUUGAGUAGAGUAACCUUUUAUUUUUGGUUGGAUUGAGUUUUAUUUUUAGGCCAUAGUAGAAUUUUUAAAAAAAUUUUGGCAUAAGUGGGACACUUACAUAAAAGUGUCCCAAAAAUGUGUCACGAUGCCCUAGCUGUGUGGUGUUGAACUCGGCUGAUUUGAUCCCUUAUUGGCUAAAUCGCUUCAUUCGACAGCAUGCGCAAAUUUCGAGUGUCAAUAUUCGUAGUCGCUCUGCCUCCUCGCGUGCUUCCUGAAGGAGAGUAUUGACCGAGUAGCGGUCAAAGAAAUCGGCUCGCAGCACAUCAUCGAUAAUCAGAUAAUCAUAUCUUUUCUUUUGAGAAAAAAAUAUAAUAAAAAUAUUUUUCUAAAACAAUGAUGGGAUGGGUGAAUCUGUUAUAUUUUAGUUUAAAUUUGUGCUAAUGUAAAUUAAGGCACUACAACAAAAACGGUCUAUAGCGACACUUUUAAAUGUAGGUACAUGUCAAAAAAGUGCUGCUAGCUAAAAUUACCGACACUUUUAAAAAGUGUUGCUAUAUGUGGGGUCCCUAGAUAUAUAGUGACAGUUAAAGAGUGUCGCUAUAACCUAAAAGAGUGCUGCUAAUUUACCAACACUUAUUUAAGCAUUUAGCAACCGCCGAAACUCUAUCUCGUUGGCUGCGGUGGCGGAUGAGGACGACAGGAAAGGCUCUUCGUCUACAAUUUCAGUGGAUUGAGUGAAGAGACACUACAACAAAAACGGUCUAUAGCGACACUUUUAAAUGUAGGUACAUGUCAAAAAAGUGCUGCUAGCUAAAAUUACCGACACUUUUAAAAAGUGUUGCUAUAUGUGGGGUCCCUAGAUAUAUAGUGACAGUUAAAGAGUGUCGCUAUAACCUAAAAGAGUGCUGCUAAUUUACCAACACUUAUUUAAGCAUUUAGCAACCGCCGAAACUCUAUCUCGUUGGCUGCGGUGGCGGAGGAGGACGACUGUAAAGGCCCNUUUUCUUAACUCCGAAAUAAACUCAUCCUUUAAUAAGAGUGCCCUAUCCUGGAGGGUUACACGUGGCCAUCAUUAAUCCUUCACAUUUUAAAGGUGUAUAUAUCUAUAUAUAUAUAUAUAUAUAUAUAUAGUCCGGCUAUUAUACUAUUGAUAGUACCAAGCAUUUGGUGCUAUCGAGUUUUUUGCUAUUAGAUCUAUCCCUUUAGCCAUUUUCAUCCGUUAGAUCAUAAUAUUCAACUAGCCACCCACUCAACCCUAGGGGCCUACUAUCAUCCUAACCGCACAUCCUUUAAUCUAAGGGCCGAAAACCUAAUAGCAAGCGGUUUGUGCUAUUAAUAGUAUAGUAGCCUAAUUCUAUAUAUAUAUACUCAGGCUACUAUACUCUUAUAAGUAUAAUCUCCUUUAUACUUAUAAAUUUUUAGUCGUUGGAUGUGUGAUUAGAAUGAUAGUGGUCUCCUAAGAUUGAGUGGGUGGUUCGUUGAAUAGUAUGAUUUAACGGAUGAAAAUGGUCAAAAGAAUAGAUCUAACGGUCGAAAACUUAUGAGUAUAAAGAGAUUUAUAUUCAUAAAAGUAUAUAUAGUAGCCAAACUCUAUAUAUAUAUAAUUAUAUAUAAUAUAUAUUUUAAUUAUAUAAAAUAAUAUAUAUUAUGUAUUUUAAUUAUAUGUAUAUAGAAUUUAGAUUAUUGGACCCACAAAACUAAACCAGCAAAAUACUACUUUAAUUGCUCUCUUUCUCUCUUUUUCACUUCCACGCACAUCCAACUUUAAUUUUUUUAGUAUUAUAAUAUCGUAUUUCAUGCACUUAUUUUAUAUGUUAAACUAUUAGAUAUUUUUUAUAUCAAAUUUUAGAUAAUAUUUUAUAAAAAUUAAAGUAUAGAUUGCAUGCUGUUAAGAAUUUCAAGCAGCUCAUUUAGGGCUCGAGUUCGCUCGACUUGAAGUUAGGCUCGCUCGAGCUCGGCUCAAAUUAAUUUCAAGCCAAGCUUAAGCCUAAAUUUAGGCUCGAAAUUAAUUUCAAGCCAAGCUUGAGCUGAAGUAAACUCGCUCGAGCUUGGCUCGUUUCCACCCCUAGGCGUGCUCUUAAGAAUGGCAACAUGUCCGUGAUCCGUACCGAUUGACGUGUUGCGUGAGGGAGAGUCGAGUCUGGGGUCUCAAUGUGCCGAGGCCUUUUCGGAUUUUUUUUUUUUUUUUUUUUUUUUUUUUUUUUUUUUUUGGCGCACGUUGUUUGUAUUUGGUGUUUUGUAUUUUUUACAAAGAGAUUAUUUUGUACUCCCCCUUCAACUUAAAUAAAAUUUUACUUCAUCUUAGUCCAUAGAAGUAGAGCUGCUACCAAUGUAAAUUUUGAUAUGCUUAUUCAUUUUCUUUUCUUGUAUUAAUUUUUUUGGGAUCUACUUUUUGUCAUUUCGAUUUAAUAAACUGGUAUAGUUUUCUGGUCCUUUGAGGAUAAAGAUGAUGAUAAAAUUUGAGAUCCAAAAAUUUGACAAAACUGACAGUUUUGCAUUAUGACAAAUCAAGAUGCGUACUAUACUGAUGCAGAAUGAUUGCAAAACCUAUUGUUGUGAAAAGGAAAGACGCUCGAUAUGUUGACGCCAAAGCAGAAGGAGAAAAUUGAUGACAAAGCUGUUACAGUAAGACAAUUGGGUUUAUUUGAUAAGGUAUUAUGCGAGGAACCCUGAAUGAAACGACACUGCAGGGCUAUGACUUAAAUUGGAAUCUUUCUAUAUGACGAAAUUUCUUGCCUAAGAUGUAUUUGAAGCAAUGUCUCUUCAUAUUGCGCAUAGCAAAAGUUAUCUCUAUUACGUCGCAUUUAAAUUAAUUUAAUUCUAUUAUUAUGAAUUUUUGCUCGAUAGAUGUCAAAAUCAAUGACGGGCACUACAACAGAAUUAGUUUAUAGUGACACAUUAACAGAAUUAGGUUAUAGUGACACAUUUUUGGAACACUUUUAUAUAAGUGUCCUAUUUAUGCCAAAACUUUUUUAAAAAAUCUACUAAGGCCUAAAUAUAAAGCCCAAUCCAAACAAAAACAAAAAGUUUCUCUACUCAACCAACCCCACAAAGUCCAUUUGGCCCGAUUACAAAUAGAAAAGGAAAAAAGGAAAAAUUGAUCAUCAUCUCCCCCUCUCCUCCUCCGCCGCCGCAUCCGACGAGCUAGGAUUCCGGCGGUUGGAGUUCGGCUGCGAGAAUCUCGCAGGGACCGUAGAGAGCUACGAUCGCCACGUGUUCCUCCGCCGCAAGUCGCUGGAGGAGUAGGUGCCAAACAUCGAGGCGGCCCCACAUAUAGCGACCCCACAUAUAGCAAUUUUUUUAAAAGUGUCGGUAAUAUAUCUAGUAGCACUUUUUUUGACUUGUACUGACAUUUAGAUGUGUCGCUAUACACCAUUUUUAUUGUAGUGGGGAUGAAGUCCUUUUAUCACUAUGUUCUUUAUCGCCCUCUUAUAAGAAUUUUCGUGAGACAUUCUUAUUUCGAUGCGAUACUCUACAUCUCGAUGAUGUCAAAUCCUCUCAACAUUUAAACGAAAGGAAUGACAUGCAUAUAAACAAUGAGACAUGUGGAGGUUCCAGAAAAGGUUUGGUCACUAGAGAGAGGUAUCGGAAAAGGAUUUUGGUAAUAAAGGUAUAUUUAGAUCAAAGUCAAAGUGCAAAAAUUUGAUUUAUGGUUAUUAUAAGAAGGGUCAUAUAAAAACUAAUUGUUUCAAAUUGAAAAUAGAGAACAAUGCAAGAAGAACGAUGAUACGAAUUAAUGUCAGAAUAAUAAUAAUAAUGAGGCAAAAGCAAGUGUUACAAUAAGAGAAAAUGAUAGCAGUGAUAAUGUCUUCAUAGUUACUAAUAAGACACAAGAUAAGAUAGGUGGCAUAUGGACACCGUGUAUUCCUACCAUAUUUGUCUCAUAGAGAGAUUUUAGACAUACAAACCUAUUCAAGAUAGAGUUGUAUUGAUAGAAAAUCAUGCUAAAUGUAUAGUUAUUAGCAUUGGCGUUAUUAGGAUACGAAUAUUUGAUGGAAUAGUGAGGAUUAUAUUAGAGGUUCGAUAUGUUCUGUGUGUAGGAAAAAAUUCUGAUCUCAUUGAGUACACCAGAUGCUAAAAGCUUUAGGUACUCUUCGGCUGAUGGAUUGAUGAAGGUCUCUAAAAGAAAUCUUGUAGUGAUGAAUCCCAAGUUGCCUGAUAUUUUAUAUAUUUUACAGGGUUCCACUAUGACAGGUUCAAUAACAAAAACUUCUUCCUCUAUAUUAGAUUCGGAUAGCACCAAAUUAUGGCUUAUGCAACUGGGUCAUAUGAGGUUUACUCGAUAGUCAGAGUUUAGAAAAAUUAAACUUCUGCGAGCAUUGUAUUCUUGACAAACAAAAGAGGGUCAAUUUUAAGACUGCAACUCAUUAGAUAAAAAGUACUUUGAACUACAUUCGUUCUGAUCUUUGGGUACCCUUUCGUGCUCCUACUUAAUGUGGUGCUAGGUAUAUGUUGAUUUUUAUGUAUGAUUAUUCUUGUAAAGUGUGGGUAUUUUUUGUAAAAAGUAAGAAUGGGGUGUUUAAUUAUUUUACACAGCGAAAGAUCAUGAUUGAGAAGCAAAGUAAAUAGAGGAUAAAAAGAUUAAAGACCAAUAAUGGUUUGAAAUUCUGUUCAUCAUAGUUUGAAGAAUUUUGUAGAGGAAAGGACCGUAAGUUAAAAAAUGUAGUGAGUAGUUAGUAGUGAGUAUAAAAUAUAACACCAAAAUAUUUUUAUCAUUUUUACAACUUAAAAAUAAAUUAAAAUUUUAUUUACUAAUAUUCAUAAAAAUUAAAUUACAUAUAAAUAAUAAUACUAAAAAUAAAUGAUAAUAUUCAUAAAAAUUAAAUUACAUAUAAAUAAUAAUAUUAAAAAUAAAUGAUAUUAAAAAGUACUUUAAAAAUAUUGUUAUAACUCUAUGCAUUGCACGGGUUAGUCAUAUAUAGUUGAUAUAAUGGCUAGAAAUUAUGAAACAAAUACUAUUCAUCUGCUAAGGUGAGUUGAAGCCUAUUUAUCUAUUAAUAAAUUACACACUUACCGACCAUCCCUAGAGCAAGUGGCAAAGGGCUUGGUGGUUGGUAGCUGAGGUUCCAAGUUCGAAUCCUAGUUGAUUCACAUUUCUAGCUAAGUUUAUUUCUAAAUAAAAUAAACGAAGCGGGUAGUGUGCUACCUAUCUCUCAAAAUAAAUAAAUAAAUAAAUAAAUUACACACUUGCUACACAGAUUAAAAAUCUAAUUACGGAGACCACUAAAUAAAGAUCUAAACUGUUAGAUAUGAUUUACAAAAUAUAAAUAACUUGUAAAAAGUUAUAAGUUUUUUUGAGGAAAAGGUAGCACGCUACUUGUUUCAUUCAUUAAAAAAAUGAAAUAAGUUAUAUAGGUGAGGCAACGCAGGCCUAGGAAAGGAAAAUAAAAGUUCUAUAUAUAUAUAGAGUAGGUCUUGUGUGUUAUUAGGAGCACAGAGGCCAGCCUCCGUGCUGCUAAGCCGUUUUCGAUGAUGGAGCUUGCGAAUCGACGAUUGGCUCUGUUAGACUUGAUCUAGCAUAUUUCAAGUAUCUAGAAAAUAAAUUUUAUGAUUUUUUAAUACCAUUUAACUAGCGAUCGAAAGUGUUCAAAAUCAACAAUUUAUAAUGAUUGAUAUAUAUCGUUUACAAGUUUAACAGUGUAGAAGUAUUCAAAUCAGAUGAAAUUUUGAUAGAAAAUUUUUUACACUAUUUACUGCAAGAUCAAUAUCUCAGAUUGAAAAUUUUAGUACUAUAUCAUCACUUUUUAUGAGAUUUUUAUUUUCAGCUGUUGAUUUUGAACCCUUUUGAUCGCUUGGUAAAUGAUAUCGAAAAAUCGCAAAAUUUAUUUUCUAGAUACUUCAAAUACGCUAGAUCAAGUCUAAUAGAGCCGAUCAUCGAUUCGCAAACUUCAUCAUCGAAAACAGCUUAAGAGCAUAGAGGCCUCCGUGCUCUUAAUAGCAUACAAGACCUACUCUCUCUCUCUCUCUCUCUUUAUAUAUAUAUAUAUAUAUAUAUAUAAGUUUUAGAAAACUAUAUGGCGUGUUUCUAAAACUGUUGAAAGUUGUAAAUCAUUGAUUUUGAUACUAGAUGAUUAGAAAAUCGGAUCCAGUACUCAUAAAGUUUUAUAAUUAAGUAACAUUUUUAGAUGUUCUUGUUUUUAUUUAAUGAUUUGAAUCUCAAGUUUAACUUGACUCUAAAAUUUAUUGAAAAUUGCUCUAAAGUUGUAUCCUUUAAAUUUUUAUAAAACUAGUGUAAGUUAUGUAGGUAUAACUUUUAGGAUGUAAGAUAUACAUCUUUUUUGAAACGUACAAGUAGCCACCUAAAAAUAAUUAGAUCAAAAUUAAAAAAACUAAAAGUUAUAUAUUGAAUAAGGCUAAAUUACAGAAAACCCUCCUGUCAAAAUCCGAUUUUUUACUUUUCCCCCUGUUAUUUAAAAACCUACACUUUGCCCCAUUGUAAAAUGAAAAAUGUGCACUCCAUCUCCUACCGUUAGGGUUCUGUUAGAGUUCCGUUAUAAAAUAUUUUUUUAUGCCAAAAAUACCCCUCCACCCUCUUCCUUGUUGCUUCGCCUCCCUCCGACUCGCCGCCGCCUCGCCGCCUCGCCCUCCUCCACUGUCUCGCCCUAGCCCACAUCCCCUUCGCCCUCCUCCGCCUCGCCUUCGCCCUCGUUGCUCUUGCCUACCUCUCCAUCAAAGCCCACCUUGAUUUCCUCCCUACCCUCGCUGAAAUCGAGGGGCGGCGAGGGUGCAGGAGGAGAAGGGGAGCAGGUGGAGAAGAAAAUAGAGAGAAAUCGCGGCUGAUCGAGGUGUAAAUCGCGGCCAAACGAGACGGCGGUUGAGGAAGAUGAUGGAGGAGAUGAAAAUGAUGAGGGGCAAAAUGGUUAUUUUACACACCGUACUUCUUGUGAACAUUUUUCAUUUUAUAAGGGGGCAAAGUGUAGGUUUUAAAUGACAGGAAAAAAAAAUUAAAAAUCGGAUUUUGACAGAAAUUUUAUAUAAUUUAGCCAUUGAAUAAUUAUUUUUUAGAAUGAUUAGAAAUUCAUGUUACUUUUGUAUGUUUUCACUAUAGAAUCAUUCAAUUUGCAAUAUUGACGUGACAUUCAUUGGCGUGGCAUAUACAUUAAUGCAUUUGUCUGAUGCAAUAAUGCAUUUGGUGCAGCCUAUGCAAUAAUGCAUUUGGUGCGGUCAAUGCAAUAAUGUAUUAGUGUGACAUGUUUUAAAUUUAUUAGUAGUGUCCAGGUAAAAUAUCCGUACAACACCACAAAAAGAUAAAAGUUUUCUCCUCUCCCACAAGGGUAUCAUAAUUGGAGAUGUCAACGGGUCGGAUUCGGGGCGGAUUUUUAAAAACCCGAACCCGAACCCAACUCCAAACCCGAGACCCGGACCCGAACCCGAACCCGACGGAUUUUAAAAAUCCAUAUCCAAACCCGAACCCGUCCAAAAAUCCGAAACCCGAACUUGAACCCGAACCCGAAAAUUUGUACCCGAAACAAUUAUUUCUUUUUUCAAUAUUUCAAAAUAUAUUAUAUUAAAUCUAAAUUUUUAAAAUAUAAAUUCAAAUAUGACAUCAAAUUUUUAUAUAUAUAUUAUAUAUAAUACAAAAUAAAUUCGGAUUCGGGUCGGGUACAAUUAAAAUCCAUAUCCGAAUCUAUAUCCGUCGGAUUUCCAUUUUUGAUAUCUAUAUCCAUCGGAUAUAUCCGUUUUAUUCGGGUUCGGAUUCGGAUAAAAUUUCGGAUAUCCAUACCCAUUAACAUUCCUAAUCAUAAUAGAACAGUUGAAAAGUUUUAUUUGCACCCUCUACGUCGUUUACUAUCCCCACCAGGCUUAUUAUUAGGUCAAACUUGUUCAAAACCAUGAGUUUCUCGUGAUCAUGCUAGAAUCAAUUUAGCAAUGAAGAAGGUCAUCCAAAAUGAUUGAACAAGAAGUAGGGCCUAUUUGGUUCGCGUUGAUCUUAUCAGAAUUAUAUGGUAUUCUAUACGAAAAUAAUUGAAUUAACAAGAAGUAGGGCCUAGAUUUGCCUUAUCUUGUCAGAAUUAUAAAAAAUUAUGUACAAUUUUUUAAAAAAUUAAUAUAUUUGGUUCAUCGUGUAAUUAAUCUGAAUGGUAAUAUAACAUUCCUAAUAGCGCAAUAUGACACCAAAAAUUAAUAUUAUCAGGAAGCUAGGGGAUAAGUAUAUUAUAUUGCUGACUGCUAGUAUCAUGCAGUUUAUACAAAAUUAUAAAACUAUCUUUCCCCACUCCCAAUUGCCACAAAUUUAGACAAAUAAAUUUAAAUUUUUGUUUCUCAUUUAAUAAAAUAUUUAAGUUUUAUUUCAAAAAUAAAAUUUUUAAUUUAAAUCUGAAUUUGAAUUUAAAUUUGAUUUUAACUUUCAAUUUAAGUUUAAAAUUUUGGUUUAACUAGAAAUUUGAAUUAAAUUUUAGAUUUGACUUGACAAAUUGAACUUUAAUUUCUGAACUCAAAAAUCUUAAAAUUUGAACUAAAAAAUCUAACAUCAAAAUCUAUAACUCAAUAUUAAUCUCUAAUAUAUAUAGCUGAUGUGGCGCAAUCAUAUUGUUUUCAUUUUUUUUUUUUUACAUAGACCAUUUACUCUCUCUCUCUCUCUCUCUCUCUCUCUCUCUCUCUCUCUUCUCGUCUUCCUUGAGAUGUUUUUAUCUUUCUUUUAAGAACCACAUUUAUUUUGAUUUUUCUAAUUGCCUCUUCAUUUUACAUGAACAGUUUCUCUCUUUUCUUAAGUAUUGCAUUUACUUUUUUUUUAAUUGCACUUUGCCUUCUAUUGUAUUGUCAUGCCUCGGGGUCCCUUUGGAUUUAAAAUCCCAUGCGGAAGUGCCCAAACUUUUUUUUUUUUUUGAAAAUCUUGACCCCGGAGGAUGUCAUAUCUGCCACAAAUACAGAAAAUCUACUGUUCACACGGACAGAGUCUCCCCUGUAUUUGCACGGCGUCGCACAAGUACAAGAUACAACCACACUGUAUAUAUAUAUCCACAUACAAUCACCAUAUCACAAUUAUUCCAAUCACAAGUUUACCAUAAAUUCACAUCUAUUAGUUUAAAAUGUUUCCUACCCGGAAAUUUAUUUUGAAACACUAAGUAUCAUGAAAAUAAGGAAAACUCUUUUUAAAACUGUUUCUCACACGGAAACCUCUUUUUCUUUAAAAAUGCGCUACUAAGAGGGGUAAAAAAUCGUUUUCAUCUCAUAAGAAAACCAUAGUACAUUAUUCAUUUCACAAAACCAUAUUUGUUCAUAUAACUGAAAACCAACGAAACCAUAAAUACUAAUUCAAUUAUUAAAAGACAAGUUUGAAGAGUUUAACCAAAAACGGCGGGACGAUAGUUCUAUCGCUCGCUAAGACACACACCUUACGAACCGUCCCAACUCGGACCAGCAAUGUCACCUGGAAGGGGGGUUGGAGGGGGCCGAGGUGCCCGAGCAUUCCGGGUCCGACGAGGUACAGGAGUUGCGAGUGCAAGUCGCUACGAUUGUUGGUGUGAUGCAGCGCCAAGAGGGUCAAACUGAAAGGCUGCAGGAAUUGGUGGCGCAGCAAGUGGCGGCACAGCAGCAGGCGGCGGCACAACAGCAGGCGGUGGCUCAGGCGGAUAUUGAGCGACCUGCGCCCCUGUCGUUGUACCUGGUGCGACGGAGGGUGUGGCCACGACAGCUAUACCAAUUGCAGCGUGACCUGCACCGCCGGUGGUGGCUACCGCUUCGGGUACUUCAAAUCCCGAAAGUGCGGCGUUGGAGGUGGAGAGGGAGCGUGCACUCUCGGCCCUCGUAAUGUUCAAGAAGUUUAAUCCGCCAUUGUUUGAUGGGGAGAAAGUCGAGCUGUGGAUGGUGGAGUCGUGGAUUGACUCGAUGGAGACCCUCUUUGAGAGUCUUUACAUUUUGGAGAAGGACAAGGUGCACCUUGCCACACAUUGUUUGGAGAGAUCGACAAAGGUGUGGUGGAGGAGGGUCAAGCGGGAUCGGUCUUCCGACCUUCCGCCGUUGGUGUGGGAGGAGUUUCGGGGAUUGAUGUUCACUAAUUAUUUCCCCGAUAGUGUGAAGAAGAAACUUCAAGAUCAAUUUCGGAAGCUGAGGCAAGGAAACCGCUCGGUGGGAGAAUUUGAGCGGGAGUUUUCUCACAUCAUUGACUACGUCCCCGAUGUGGUACGGGACGACAAGGAUAGGGCGGAUUGGUUCGAACGUGGACUUCGGCCGGAUAUCUAUAAGGCGGUGCAUAUUCUCAAGCUCACAACCUUUGUGGAGGUGUUAGAUCGGGCGAUAUGGGCAGAGCAUGGUAAUGCCUACGUCCGUGUUGAGCGUGAGGCAUCCGAGAAAGACAGAGGAAAGAAGCGAGCUCCGAGUGGUUCGGGAGGUCAGCCGAAAUCCAAGAAGACCCCGAAGUACCCGCGAACGCAGUCUAAAGGUCGUGGGACUACGCGGUGCGUCAUUUGUGGCGAAGACCAUCAACCGAUGCAUUGUGAUCAAUGCGAGGGGAAAUGCUUCAGGUGUGGUCAGGUGGGACACUUUAGCCGUCACUGCCCGGGAAGGGCCUUGCCUGCCCCAUCGGUUGCAUCGGCUCCGGCGACUUCGAGAUAGUAUGGAGGAGUUCCAUCCGCUGUCGUAUCUGCUGGACGUGUGAUGGUGCCACGUCAGCCCGAGAUGACUCGGCCGGCUCCUAGUGGUCGGGUAUUUGCUGCUCAGGUGGAGGAACCUGCCGAGGUCGAGGACCGCAACGUCGUGGCAGGUAUGGUGUGGUAAACGGAGUUCGAACUAGAGCUUUAUUUGAUGCAGGUGCAACUCCUUCAUUCGUCNAGGACCGCAACGUCGUGGCAGGUAUGGUGUUGGUAAACGGAGUUCGAACUAGAGCUAUGUUUGACACUGGUGCCACUCAUUCAUUCAUCAGUCGACCGUUCACAAAAGUACUUGGCGGGUUGAAGCCCCUGAGCGCUCAUUUGUUAUUAGAAAGUAGUGUUUGGCUUGUCCAGUACAGGUGGGCAACUGGAUUAUGCCGACACGUUUAUUAGUGCUCAAGCGGUUGAAAGAUUUUGAUCUGAUACUGAAUAUGGACUGGCUCUCGAAAUACUAUGCAUCUAUUGAUUGCAAAAGUAGGGUGAUAAAUUUUCGUGAGCCAGGAAAAGAGGAGUUUAUUUAUCGAGCAUGCAAGAGUUCGCUCUUCGCCAUGACAGUGUCGGCGACAAGGGCAAGGAAGAUGGUUAGUGGCAAUUGCACGGCUUAUUUGGCAACUGUGGUGGAGGUCGGUAGGGAGACUUCGGUGCUUGAGGAUGUUUUCGUGGUUCGAGAGUUUUCGGACGUAUUUGCUGUGGAGCUACUGGGGAUACCGCCGGAUCGGGAAGUCAAGUUCGUAAUAGACUUGGUUCCUGGAACCGCAUCAAUUUUGAAGGCUCCGUAUUGAAUGGCACCGGCCGAGUUGAAGGAGUUGAGGGCUCAAUUGCAAGAUCUCCUCGUUAAGGAAUUUAUUAAGCCGAGUGUGUCGCCUUGGGGAGCCCCGGUAUUAUUUGUGAAGAAGAAGGAUGGGUCGUUCCGUCUUUGUGUGGAUUAUCGUGAACUAAAUAAGGUCACGAUUAGGAAUAAGUACCCAUUGCCCCGUAUCGAUGAUUUGUUUAACCAACUACAAGGGUCUCGGGUGUAUUCGAAGAUAGAUCUUCAGUCUGGCUAUCAUCAGUUGAAAAUAAAGCCGGAGGAUGUGCAUAAGACCGAGUUUCGCACGCGGUAUGAGCACUAUGAAUUCACGGUCAUGCCGUUUGGGCUCACAAAUGCCCCGGCAGCAUUCAUGGAUUUGAUGAAUCAUGUCUUCAAAGCUUUCUUAGAUCGAUUUGUCAUAGUGUUCAUAGACGACAUAUUGGUCUACUCUCGUAGCGACGAAGAUCACUUGGAACAUUUGAGGAUUGUGCUAUAGGUCCUUCGGGAGGAGAAACUUUAUGCGAAGUUGAAGAAGUGCGACUUUUGGCUCCGUGAAGUUGCCUUCUUAGGACAUGUGAUUUUCGAAGGUGGAGUAUCUGUUGACCCGAGGAAGAUUGAGGCGAUCAAGAAUUGGCCUCGUCUGAUGAAUGUAACGGAGGUCCGUAGCUUUGUUGGCUUAGCGGGCUAUUAUAGACAGUUUGUGGAGGGUUUCUCGAAGAUUGUUGUUCCACUUACCCGUCUUACACAGAAGGGCACUAAGUUCAUGUGGGGUGAUGAGUGCGACCGAUGUUUCAAGGAGUUGAAGGAAAGGUUGACGUCGACUUCGAUACUCGCCCCACUCGUCCAAGGAGAGGCUUUGUGGUGUAUAACGACGCAUCCUAUCUAGACUUGGGUGUGUUAUGAUGCAAUGUGGGAAGGUCAUUGCUUAUGCAUCCCUCCAGUUGAAGAGCUACGAGAAGAACUAUCCUAUCCAUGACCUGGAGUUAGCUGCAGUGAUCUUCGCUCUUAAGCUGUGAAGACAGUACUUAUAUGGUGCGCGUUGUGAGGUAUACACGGAUCACAAAAGCCUGAAGUAUUUGUUUACUCAGAAGGAGCUAAAUAUGAGGCAAUGCCGGUGGUUGGAGUUGUUAAAGGAUUAUGGCGUUACUAUCCUUUACCACCCCAGAAAAGGCAAUGUAGUGGCUGAUGCGCUUAGCCGAAAAUCGGUAGAAAAUCUUGCAAUGUUGGUCACGCAUCAAAAGCCAUUAUGGAGAGAGAUGUGGCGGUUUGAUCUUGAGAUCGUAGCUCCGGAGGUUCCGGCUAUGCUUGCGGCUCUCGUUGUCCAACCGACCUUGUUGGAGAGGAUUGAGAGUUUGCAAUCCGCAGACCUGAGUCUCCAAAAGGUGCGGCGCAACGUUGAGAGUGGGCGCAUUGGUGAUUUCAGCGUAGGCACCGAUGGCGCGCUUUGGUAUCGGAACCGAUGGUGCGUACCGAAUGAUGAAGAAAUUUAGAAGUUGAUUUUGCAAGAGGCGCAUCGAUCUCCCUAUAGUGUCUAUCAGGGCGGCACCAAAAUGUAUAAAGACUUGAAAAUGCAUUAUUGGUCGCCGGGGAUUAAAAAGGACAUCAGACACUAUGUGGCGCAAUGUCUUGUGUGUCAACAAGUCAAGGCAGAGCGCUGAUUUCCAGCGGAAAAACUUCAGCGUCUACCUAUUGCAGUUUGGAAAUGGGAGGAUAUAGCGAUGGAUUUCGUGGUGGGUUUACCCCGUUCAUCGGGUUGCCACGAUGCUAUUUGGGUGGUAGUGGAUCGCUUGUCGAAGUCGGCACAUUUUCUACCUAUCCACACUACUUGGUCUGGUGAUAAGUUAGCGCAAGUUUACAUCGAUGAGGUGGUGAGGCUGCAUGGGGUUCCAACGUCGAUCGUGUCGGAUCGGGAUCUCCGGUUUACAUCGCACUUUUGGAAAAGUCUACAAGAAGCGCUUAGCACACGGCUUGAUUUUAGCACCACAUUUCAUCCUCAAAGCGAUGGUCAAUCGGAGAGAACCAUUCAAGUUUUGGAGGAUAUGCUUCGAGCGUGUGUAAUUGAUUAUAAGGGUGGUUGGCAUGAGCACUUGUUGAUGGCCGAGUUCGCCUACAACAAUAGCUACCAAGCGAGUAUAGAGAUGGCACCGUUUGAGGCUCUCUACGGGAGGAAGUGCUGAUCUCCUAUACAUUGGAGUGACGUGGCCGAACGAGUGGUUUUUGGUCCCGAUGUUUUGCGGGAGGCGGAGGAGAAAGUUCGCCUCACUCGCCAAAGGUUGUUGACGGCGCAAUCUAGGCAGAAGAGUUAUGCGAAUAGGCGCCGGCGGGAUCUUGAGUUUGCGGUAGGAGACCGCGUCUUUUUGAAGGUGUCACCCAUGAGGGGUGUGAAGUGGUUUAGAGUCCGGGGAAAGUUGAGUUCCCGAUAUAUCGGACCGUAUGAAGUGUUGGAACGGAUUGGUGUGGUAGCAUACCGGCUUGCUUUGCCGCCCAAGCCUGCGGGAGUUCACAAUGUGUUCCACGUGUCUAAUCUCAGCAAAUAUGUUCUGACCUCGAGCAUGCUGUCUUGUAUGAACCACCGGAACUUCAAGAGGAUAUGACAUAUGAGGAGUUUCCGGUAUCUAUCAUCACUUGGGAAGUGCGGAAGUUGCGGAACCGUGAGAUUCCGUAUAUCAAAGUUUAGUGGAGCAAUCAUAAUGAUUGUGAAGCCACUUGGGAACUUGAGGACGCGAUGAAAGAACAUCAUCCUCAUCUCUUUGAAGAUUUGAGUUGAGGUAUGAGUUUAGAUUGAAAUGAAUUAAGUUUCGAGGACGAAACUCCUUUUUAGGAGGGGAGGAUGUAAGAUAAUGAAUCCUCGACGCGUAAAAUGAAACUUUAGUCAAAAUUGACCAACGUAUGGUAUUGGACGCUUUAGAGAGGUCUGUUGAGUGUUCCGAGUGAUCGGAAUGACUUAUAAGGGUAUAAGGGACCAAAAGGAACCUCGGAGAGUACGAUUUGAGAAUUUCAAAUUUUUUUGUAUUGGAGAUGCUCUCGGGGUCCGGACCCUGCAUGUAGGAUCCGGACCCCAUACAUGGGAAAACGUGAAAAAUUGCAAAAGGGUCAUUUGUGUAAGGGGCUAAGUGCAUUGUGCAAGUGGGAGUGUAUAUAGAUGGGUUUUAUCCCAUUUCCUCUCAUUCCCCAUUCACACCCCAACAAAAGAGAGUUCUCUUUCCCUCUCUAAACCUCUCUCUCUCCCUCUAGGUUUGCUCCAAAAUGUGGAGUUUGGCGGAGAGAAGCUUGCUUGGAGGUUAAGUUUCCUUCUUCACCAUUGGCUUGAGGAGAGCUUGGCUUAGAGGUAAGCCUUGUGAUGCUAGGAUUUUGAUAUAAUCCCUUAGAAAUGAGUUAUAUGGAAACCCUAAGUGUUGCUACACUAGAUUAUUGCAUGAAUCAUAGUAGGGUUUCUAAAGAGGGCUUUUGAUCAUAGUAGGGUUUGAUCUAAGAGCCUAUGUAAACCUAAUUGAAGGUAAAAUCGACACAGUGGACAACUCGAAUCGAAGUUCCUACGGACGUGCGGCGAGUCAUUGAGGAAAAGUACACUUUUCGGUUCGUUUGCGUGGGGUCGAGCUGGAACAACGUCUAUAAAUCACGAGGCUUGGGUUCUCGCAUCUUGGCAUCACCAAGAGGUGGGGGGUGAUAUCCGAAGUAAGCAGAUUUUCUUUUAUGUCUAAGUUGUUAUUGUUGAGCAUCUAUAUUCAUAUGUGAUAUCAUGCAUUAUAGGAUAUGUGGUUAAAUGUAAUUCUAUUCCUUGCAUGCUUCCAUGGUAGAAAGAGAAUUUGUGAGUUGGACACAUAAUCUAGCGGGUGCAUGAGGAUUGGGUCUUGACAUGGAAUCCUAUAGUGCCAAGAACAAGUGACGAACUUGAAUAAUGUAAUGACAUAAAAGAGUGGCAUGUAAAACUAGUGUAGUGGUAACACUUAUAAUAUGACUAUUGGGAUAGGUGGAUUCCUGAAUAUAUUGUUAUCCCUAGUUGGUAGGGUAUCCUCGAGUUGAGAGGAUUGGAUCAUACUCACUUAGUCUGUUUCAGCUUGACGGUGGUCGCUCCAUCCAAGUAGUGAGCUCCGGAGUUGUCACACGAUGGGUUGACGUACCUACCCAGCAGACGGUCUCGGGUGUGCGUAGCGCAGAGUCUCCUUACUUAUGGGAUUUGGUUGUGAGUUGGGGCUUAACCUUAGGGUUAGUCAAGAUGAUUGGAUGACAAGUAUAUGAAUGGCAUGCAUCAUGAGCAUAGUAGAUAUUUCAUUCAUAUCAUGUUGUGAGGCAUAGUAGCAUGAUAGGAGAUUUCAUUACUUUAUCUAUAUCUCUACUUAUACCUACUUAGACCUAGUGGGAAAAUCGGCGGAGUCGGCAGCCGAACCCACUGAAAACUUUUGUUAGUUCUCAUCCCAUUUUGUUCCAGGGCCUAGCAUAAGCAGACCGGCAGAUGAUUACGGUAAGGGCAUAGCGCCUUAGUUAGUAGCCUCCUUUUGCAUUAGAGUACCAUAUGUAGAGACUUGAUUUAUUUUGGUGAGAUUACUUGUGGAUGUAUAUGUAUCAUGAGAUGAAACGUGUAAACCAAAUGUAUGUAUUUUGGUGGUUAAAUGCAAAGUGAAUGUAAUAGCUAGUUUUCUCUCUUGCUCUCGCUUGUAUUAUACUUGCAUGACUCAUGCAUGUUGACUAUGUUUAUCUGAGCAGUUAGAUAUACAUGAUUGAUGUUUGUUGAGCCUUGGGCGGACAGGGGAGAUUCUGUCCGUUCGGCGUCUGUUGGACGUACCCAAACCGACCAAAUUGGCGGUUGCGGGGCGUGGCACGUAGUGUUCCAAGUGAUACUACCAAACAUCUCUACAUGCAUAUCUAUAAUUGCAUAAGAGAAACUUAAUGUCAUCAUAAAAUAACCUUGGCAUAAUAUGUAAGUUAUAACUAUACCUAUCUACUAUAUAGAGUAUGCAAAAAUUUCACAUAUAACAUGUAUACCUCAUGUAUUCAAAAAUUCUAUUGUGUCAAGAUUAGCACUAACAUGCAUCAAAUAAGUCCUAUAACAAUAUAGGAGAGUUUACUUAUUUCGGUGAGGUCAAACCCACGGGAUAUCCCUCGAAACUCAUUCGUUUUCUCAAACGAAGUUGCCCACUAGACUUUUAGCACCCUAAGAAAAAUUCUCAAAGGGUUACAAGCUUCUAAAAAGCUUACCACGAAAUUCACCAAAAAUUAAGUAGAAAAGAAGAAAAAAUUAUCUUUGAUCAAGUAGAACUUGUUCAAGAUCUAAAUCAACGCUAAGAAGCUUCAAAUCCAACCUAAAAGAGUGUUCUACACUCAUCAAUUCAAUCCGAAGAGAUCAAAAUAGAGAAACCUUAAAAUAAACCCUAGUUUCAUCAAGACUUGGUUUUCUUCCAAAAUUCGUGCGAAACUCUCAAUUAGAGGGAGCAAGAAGGCUACUAACCUUAAUUAGAACUCCAAACCAAAGUAUGUGAUGCUAGGGUUGGAGUUAAAUCCUCAAACAAACUUCUUCCUUCACUUCCAAACUCCUUUCUAGGUCCAAGACGCAAGCUUCAAUGAAGAAGAAGAAGAAAAAGAGAUCAAAACUCAAGAUUUAAGGGUUUAAUGGAAAAAUUCAAGAGAGAGAGAGGGAACACUUACCUUCUCCUCUCUCUAACUUCAGCACCAGAGGAGACAAGUGAGGUGAUGAGGGGUUAUACAAUAUGGUGUAACAAUGCCGCUUAGGUCCCUCAAAAAUCCAAAAAUUGUAUACUGCACGAAAUUACACUGUGCAGCGUUGAGUAUCGGUGUGCGAAUUAGAGUACUGGUACUCGGCAAUUCCAGUACCAAGGGUCUAGUUUCGCAAAACCCGAAUGCUGGAAAUUCUGGUUUCAACUAUGUUCCAAUAGCCGCCCGAUGCAGUACUGGUACUCGGCUCAAUGCCGGUGCUCACCACUUGGUUCCGCAAAAUCCGAGAGCUGUCCAUUUCGGCACUCUACUGAGUUCCGGUACCUCACACCAGUACCAGUACUCAACACCAAAAUUCUAUAGUUUGCAGAUUUUUGAUGUCGAAAACCCGUUCUCGCCUAUUUAGCUCCGAAAACAGGUCGGUGCUCUACAGACAAGCCUUAGAACUUCCAGAAUUGUUCAAAAUACUAUUCCUACAUUGGAACCUUAAAAUUUGCUAAAGUUCAGUGUGCUACAGAAUAUAAUUCAAAAACUAAAUCUGAACAAUCAAAAUUUUGAAUUUAAGUAUAACAUUUAAAUUCGCAAUCAAAAUUUGAAUUUAAACUUUGAAUUAAAAUUUUAAAUUUAAAUUUAAUAUAAAAUUUAAACUUUAAUUUAUUUGAGUUUAAUCAAAAUUUGUAUUCAAAAUCAAAAUUUGAAUUUAAAAUUCAAAGUCAAAAAUCAAAAAAUGAAUUUAAAAUUUGUAUCACUAAAAUUUAAAUUUAAAUUCAAAAUUUACUUUCAAACUUUAAACAAAUAUGUGUAAGGAUAUUUUUCAUAUAGUAUAAAUUUUACUAUCAAGAUUAUCAAAAUGUAUCGGUCAACCAAAUAAAAUAAUCUUAUAUAUGAUAAAUCUGGCAUACAUUACUAUAUUGAACUAAACAGAAUGAUAUAACCUUAGUAGUAAUCUGAAUAACAGAUGCCAAAUUACUAGUUAUGUUGAGAUAACCAAUAAUGCUACAUAAUGCAAACCAGAAGGGCAUUUAUUGCAAGCAUUGUGGGAUCAAAACAGACUACAAGAGCUUCAAGCUAGUACUAAUUAAUUCAGGAGGAAUUAAAUCUAAGGUAGCGCCAAUGGUUAGAAUUAUUAAAGGACUACAAUGUCACUAUAUUGUAUCAUCCCGGAAAAGUGAACAUGGUGGCGGACGUGCUAAAUUGAAAGCCCGUGGAAAAUCUUGCCUUGUUAAUCACUAACCAGAUGUCGCUUUAGAAGGAAAUACAGCGGUUUGAAUUGGUGGUUGUUGCAUCUGGCAUCUCGAUGAUGCUUAGAAUACAACCAACUUUAUUGGAGAAGAUCAAAGAAAAGCAAACCUCAAAUGUGAAACUCCAAAAGGUGCGGUUUGAUAUAGAGGGCUAGGGUGCGGAGGACUUUAAGCUUGGACUCCAAUGGAGAUCUUGCGGUUUCGGAGGAGUACGAGUUUGUCUAGUGACCCGCAAAUUCGAGAGAAAAUCUUAAAGGGCGCACACCGAUCUCCGUAUACCAUACACUUGGGUAGCACCAAAAUGUACAAGAACUUGGAAACUCACUAUUGGUGGAUCGGAAUGAAAGGUGAUAUUUUGGGCUAUGUGGCCCUAAAAUUUAUUGAAAAUUGCUCUGAAGUUGUAUUUUAAAUUUCUAUAAAACUAAUGUAAGCUAUAUAAAGAAAACUUCUGGGAUGUAAAAUAUACACUCCUUUCGGAAUGUACAAAUAGCAUUUAUCUUACAAAAAAUAAAUAAUCAAAAUGAAAAAAUUGAAAGGUAUUGAAUAAUUAUUUUUUAAAAUUGAUUCGAAAUUUGUUUUAAUUUUGUAUGUUUUCACCCGGUACUAUUCAAUCUGCAAUAUUGACAUGACCUUCUUUGGCAUGGCAUUUACGAUAAUGCAUUUGGUGUGGCAUAUACAAUAAUGCAUUUGUGUGAUGCAAUAAUGCAUUUGGUGCGGCCUAUGCAAUAAUGCACUUGUGUGACAUGUUUUAAAUGUAUUAGCAGUGUCCGUAAAAUAUCCGUACAACACCACAAAAAGAUGAAAGUUUUCUCCUCUCUCACAAGGGUAUCAUAAUAGCACAGUUGAAAAGUUUUAUUUGCACGCUGUACGUCGUUUACUAUCCCACCAGAUGUCACACCCCAAUAAUUCUAUAGCGGAUAAGAAUGGAGAUGUGAUUAGAUAUAUAUAAGAUUUAGACACUAGUAAUAAUAACUGGGUUUAAACAUUUUGGGUCGGUGGUUGGGCCCAACGAGUUAUUGUUGUUAGUGGGCUGAGUCGUUACAAUUGGUAUCAGAGCCAAUCACCAGCCGAAAAUGUGUGGCGAGUUUCGGCUGAGUCUGGGUCUGAAAGACAAGAUGAUAGGUUAUGCCAGGGUCUUGAUGACAAGACUAGCAAGAUGAGUCUCACACUCGCUUGGUGAUUUUGGACUGUGUGUGUGAUUGGACUGACAAGGACGUCAGAAACUUAAUCGGAAAAAUCUAUCACACCCUAAUAAUCCCACAUCGGAUAGGAAUGGAAAUGUGAUUGGGUAUAUCAUAUUCCAAUAAUCCCACAUCGGAUAUGAAUGGAGAUGUGAUUGGGUAUAUAAGAGAUUUACACACUAGUAAUAAUAACUGGGCUUAAGCAUUUUGGGCUGGUGGUUGGGUCCAACGAGUUAUUCUUGCUAGUGGGUUUGGUCGUUACACUAGGUUUAUUACUAGGUCAAACUUGAGAAGCUAGAAGUGCCUAGUGGGAGAGCACAUGGAUUUAUGCUCACAUCGUUCAAAACCAUGAGUUUCAAUUCUCGUGAUCUUGCUAGAAUCAAUUUAGCAUUGAAGAAGGUCAUCAAAAAUGAUUGAAGAAGAAAUAGGCCCAUUUGGUUCGCAUUAUCUUGUAAGUCUAUACGAAAAUAAUUGAACAAGUAGGGCCUAUUUGAUUUGCGUUAACUUGUCAGGAUUAUAAAAAAUUCUGUACAGUUUUUUUAAAAUUAAUAUAUUUGGUUCAUCUUGUAAGUCAUCUGAAUGGUAAUACAACAUUCCUAAUAGCGCAAUGUAAGACUAAAUAUUAAUAUUAUUACGAAGGGGAUGAGUAUAUUAUAUUACUGACAGCGAGUUAUUCUACCGUUUACACAAAAUUUCAAAACUAUUCCUUUCCACCUCCAAUUGCCACAAAUUUAGAUGAAUAAAUUUAAAAUUUUAUUUCUCACUUAAUAAAAUAUUUAAGUUUGAUUUUAAAAUUAAAAUUUUUAAUUUAAAUUUGUAUUUGAACUUUGAAUUCAAAUUUAAAUUUGAUUUUGACUUUCAAUUUAAGUUUAAAAUAUGGCUAAAUUACAGAAAACCUCCCUAUCAAAACCUAAUUUUUUACUUUCUCUCCUUGUUAUUUUAAAACCUACACUUUGUCCCCCUAAAAAAUAAAAAAUAUUAACUUUGGAUCCCGCCGUUAGUGUUCCGUCUAUGUUCCACUAUUAUAUAUAUUUUUAUACCGAAAAUAUCCUUUUACAGAUAAAGGAGGGUUGGGGGAGGAGAGGAAGAGAGAGAGGGCAUUUUGAUCAUUUUAUCAAUACUAUUAACACCGUAUUCCCCUGUGAACAUUUUUAUUUUUUAGGAGGGCAAAGUAUAAGUUUUUAAAUGACAGGAAGGGAAAGUGAAAAAUCGGAUUUUGAUAGGGGGUUUUCUGUAAUGUAGCUUUAAAAAAUUUUGAUUUAACUAGAAAGUUUGAAUUGAAAUUUUAGAUUUGAAUUGAAAAAUUGAAUUUUAAUUUCUGAACUCAAAAAUCUUAAAAUUUGAACUAAAACAUCUAACCUCAAAAUGAAAUAUGAAUUUGAGAUUUGAAUUCAAAUUUUGCAUUUCAAUUUAAAAUUUAAAUUAUUCAUAAAUUCAGUUUGAAUAUAGAAUAUAAUUCAAAAACUAAAUCUGAACAAUCAAAACAUUGAAUUUAAGUAUAAAAUUUAAAUUCGCAAUAAAAAUUUGAAUUUAAACUUUGAUUUAAAUUUUAAAUUUGUAAAUUUAAAUUUUAAUUUAUUUGAAUUUAAUCAAAAUUUGUAUUCAAAAUCAAAAUUUGAAUUUAAAUUCAAAGUUAAAAAUGAAAAAAUGAAGUUAAACUUUGUACCACUAUAAUUUAAAUUUAAAUUCAAAGUUUACAUUUAAAUUUUAAACAAAUAUGUGUAAGGAUAUUUUUGGUAUAGUAUAAAUUUGACGGAUAAUUGCCUAUUUACCCCUUAAAACAUUAGAAAUAUCUCAAUUACCUCUACUUUUCUUUUCUUUCUAAUAUACCCCUCAUAUUUUCCUCUGUUAUUCCAAAAUACACCUGCAGUUACCACCCAUUAAGUUAACUUGGGUUAAACGUAAAUAUCUACCACAGUAAAAAAAAUUAAAAUGCUAUUUUUGCCCUUAACUUAAGGGCAAAUAAGAAAUGUUGGUGAUGGUAGAAGGGUAUAUUUGAAAAGACCAAAAAGUAAAAUACUUUUGUACCCGUAACUUAAGGGCAAAUAAGAAAAGUCGAUGAUGAUAGAAGGGUAUAUUUGAAAGGGCAAAAUAGUAAUUUCAUAAAGAUAAUAGAGUUCAUUAACAGAUUUUAACUCUAGGGAUAUAUUAGAAAUAGGUUGGAACGUAAAAAAUGUAUUUUUAAUAGUAGCCUUCUAAGAGGGGUAAAUCCGAAAGUCGGAAACUUUUCAGGGGUAUAUAAGCAAUUGCCACUAAAUUUUACUAUCAAGAUGUAAUACACUGAACUUUUACAAUUUACGGAGUUUGAGUGUGUGGAAUGAUAUGUGGAACUAUCCUACAUGUUCUAAAGGGCUUGGACAAGUUUUUGUACAAGUUAGAGAAUGAUUGGAUGGCCAAAAGUAAGAAAGUGCAUUGAUCUGGCGAAAUCAGCAUUUUUCUGCUUGGUGUACCGGUACAGCCAUCAUUGUGUACCGGUACACAGUGGC